AGUCGAGCGGAGACAGGGAGUAGCUUGCUAUGAACUGUUUUAGCGGCGGACGGGUGAGUAACGCGUGAGCAACCUUUCCCAGACAGGGGAAUAACACACCGAAAGGUGUACUAAUACCGCAUAAGACCACGGAAUCACAUGGUUCUGAGGUAAAAGAUUUAUCGGUUUGGGGUGGGCUCGCGUCCGAUUAGGUAGUUGGUGAGGUAACGGCCCACCAAGCCGACGAUCGGUAGCCGACCUGAGAGGGUGAUCGGCCACAUUGGGACUGAGACACGGCCCAAACUCCUACGGGAGGCAGCAGUGGGGAAUAUUGGGCAAUGGAGGAAACUCUGACCCAGCAACGCCGCGUGGAGGAAGAAGGUUUUCGGAUCGUAAACUCCUGUCCUUGGAGACGAGUAGAAGACGGUAUCCAAGGAGGAAGCCCCGGCUAACUACGUGCCAGCAGCCGCGGUAAUACGUAGGGGGCAAGCGUUGUCCGGAAUAAUUGGGCGUAAAGGGCGCGUAGGCGGCUCGGUAAGUCUGGAGUGAAAGUCCUGCUUUUAAGGUGGGAAUUGCUUUGGAUACUGUCGGGCUUGAGUGCAGGAGAGGUUAGUGGAAUUCCCAGUGUAGCGGUGAAAUGCGUAGAGAUUGGGAGGAACACCAGUGGCGAAGGCGACUAACUGGACUGUAACUGACGCUGAGGCGCGAAAGUGUGGGGAGCAAACAGGAUUAGAUACCCUGGUAGUCCACACUGUAAACGAUGAAUGCUAGGUGUAGGGGG
rnacentral:rRNA from 1 species